UUAAAUUUGUUAUCUAUUACAUUACAUUAUAACGAAACUACUUGAGCAAUGUAAGUAAUCAAUAUUCAUAUAGCGAUACUUAGCUGUUUCUACAAAUCUACAGAUAUUAUACAGGUAAUUGAAAGUCUCAAAGAAGUGAAGAAGCGGAUAAGUUCAUCACUCUUAAACAUUACUUUGAAAACCGCCGAACAAAACUUUAUAAAGCUUAGAAUAAAAAUUGAAUCACCACGCUGGAAACCCCCUUCUAACAACAUAAACUAAAUCAUGAAGAGCAAAAUGAUAUGAUUCUAAUUUUAUGGAUAAAAAGGGUACGGCGGUGAAUCCUGUGUCUUGUGAAUGUCAUUCAUUAUUUAAAAAAACUUUUUCUGAUGAUGGUGAAUAUUCCACUGAUUUGAUUUAUAAAAACCUUGAAUACAAGCGGGUAUAUUAUUUGAUUUCCUUUUUCACCGCAUGGAAAAUUGCUAUUUAUUUCAUUAAUCCAUCGGCUGAAAUAAUCUUUUCAAGAAUACUGUGUAUAAACGGCUACAAAAAAAUUAUAAUUAACAUAAUUAAAAAUAAGAAAGGUUUUUUAUUGAUUCACUGCAGCUGCUAUUAGCGAUUUCAUAUACGAUUAUAAGCAAUGAACUUAAUAAGUCAUUCAAAAUUUCACCCAAAAAAAAAAUGCUUUUAGGAAAUCAAUACUAUACGAGUUAUUUACUAUGAAAUAACUUUGAUAUCUUUUGUAAUCAAUG